rnacentral:tRNA from 1 species
CUAAUAAAAAGCCGUAAAUAUUAUAUUAGCGGGCUAUUAGCUCAGUUGGUGAGAGCGCACCCCUGAUAAGGGUGAGGCCGCUGGUUCAAAUCCAGCAUAGCCUACCA